rnacentral:rRNA from 1 species
CCUACGGGAUGCAGCAGUGAGGAAUAUUGGUCAAUGGCCGUAAGGCUGAACCAGCCAAGUAGCGUGAGGGAAGACUGCCCUAUGGGUUGUAAACUUCUUUUAUGCGGGGAUAAAGUUCGCCACGUGUGGUUGUUUGCAGGUACCGCAUGAAUAAGGACCGGCUAAUUCCGUGCCAGCAGCCGCGGUAAUACGGAGGGUCCGGGCGUUAUCCGGAUUUAUUGGGUUUAAAGGGAGCGUAGGCCGGUCUUUAAGCGUGCCGUGAAAUUCUGUGGCUCAACCAUGAGAGUGCGGCGCGAACUGGAGGGCUUGAGUGCGCGGAAGGCAGGCGGAAUUCGUGGUGUAGCGGUGAAAUGCUUAGAUAUCACGAAGAACCCCGAUUGCGAAGGCAGCAUACGGCAGCGUUACUGACGCUGAAGCUCGAAGGCGCGGGUAUCGAACAGGAUUAGAUACCCUGGUAGUC